rnacentral:rRNA from 1 species
UACGUAGGCAGCGAGCGUUGUUCGGAGUUACUGGGCGUAAAGGGUGUGUAGGCGGUUUUCUAAGUUUGGUGUGAAAUCUCCCGGCUCAACCGGGAGGGUGCGCCGAAAACUGGGAGACUAGAGUGCGGGAUGGGAGAGUAGAAUUCCUGGUGUAGCGGUGAAAUGCGUAGAUAUCAGGAGGAAUACCGGGGGUGUAAACGGCUCUCUGGACCGCCACUGACGCUGAGACACGAAAGCGUGGGUAGCAAACAGG